rnacentral:lncRNA from 10 species
GACAAGAAAGGAGAGAUGAAGCCGGACACUUUUUUUUUUUUUUUUUUUUUGAGAAUGGAGUCUCACUAGCCCAAGUUCCUACAGAUCCAAAAUGGCACAAUAAAAGCAGGAGAGAGAGAGAGAGAGAGAGAGUGUGUGUGUGUGUAGAGAGAGAGAGAGAGGAGCAAAUAAGGUAGUACCUCUGGUGGUUCCCGGGCCUGGGAAUUUUCUUUGUUCCAUGUGGCAUGUACUGUAGUGCCAGCUACUUAGGGGUUGAGAUGGGAGAAUCACCUUGGCCCAGGAAGUUGAGGCUACAGUAAGCCAUGAUUGUGCCACUGCACUCCAGCCUGGGUAAUAGAGUGAGAACCUGUCUCGGAAAAAAAAAAAAAAAAAAAAAAGGAAGGUUUAAAUCUUUAAGUGAUGAAAAGACAGCUUCCCAGAAACCUUGCCUUGGAAGUUGAACCACGGACAGUUGGGAGCCACCCCAAGACAACAGGAGUGGAACAGUGGGACUUUUGAGAGUUUAACCUUAAGAAAGUAAAACUAAGCCAGGUGUGGUGGUUCACACCUGUAAUCUCAGCUACUGGGACAAAGGCUGAGGUGGGAGGAUUGCUUGAAUCCAGGAGUUUGAGGCCAGCCUGGCCAAUGUAGUGAGACCCCCAUCUCUUUAAAAAACAAACAAACAAAGGAAAAAAAAACUGGCAACUUGUCGUGACACUAUUACGACUAAACUGACAACUAAAUGUCUCACCAAGGGGGAGGAAGGGUGCUUCUGGAGACGUUUACUAGGAACACUUCAUCUAGCUCUGGUAUCCAAAAUAAAUGAAGCUCUGAGCGCUUUCCUUGUAAGUUAAUACUUGGGAGAACAACAUUAUCCCUGAUUUUUGUACUACUGAAGUACUGCCGAUAUCUGACAAUCCUUGCAGAUGGAAUCACAUAAGAAAACUAUUUCUCCUUCAAAGGAAAUAAUGACCAAACAUAACCUUUCUUUAAAUUCUGCUAGAUCUUUUGUGGGGGAACUUGCUACAAGUAGAAUUACAUUUUUAUGAUUUUGUAUAAGCCUUCCCUUCACGAGACACUUAAGAAUUUCCAGAGGGAGCAGGUAGAAAAUGCAAAUUUCAGUCGGACACGGUGGCUCAGGCCCAUAAUCCCAGCACUUUGGGAGGCCGAGGCAGGCAGAUCACCUGAGCUCAGGAAUUUGAGAUCAGCCUGGGCAACAUGGUGAAACCCCACCUCUACUAAAACUACAAAAAACUAGCCGGACGUGAUGGUGCACGCCUGUAAUCUCAGCUACUCAGGAGGCGGAGGUUGCAGUGAGUCAAGAUCACGCCACGGCACUCCAGCCUGGCCAACAGAAUAAGACUCUGUUCUCAAAAAACAAACAAACAAACAAGCAAAUUUCCAGCCUGGUCUGAGAAUCCCCAUCCUUAACAAGCAUCCCAGGUGUUUCUGAACAUAGCCUUUGGUCCACACUAAGAAGCUGUUGCUCCCAAAGUAUGAGACAUGAUGCAUCUGUUCUUCCCCACACAUGUUAGGCAAGGUGGGGGAACUACAUCAAAACAAACAUUGGCUUUACCUUAGCUCUCUAAGGAGCCGGGCUUCCACUGGUGAUCAGGAUCCCACAUAGGUUUUCUGUGGUGCUGCACAUCCAUGUUCAGUAGCAUUUCUGCAUCUCCUGGAAUAUAGUCAUUUCUAGAAGUCCAGGAACCAUGACUGCCACAGAUCCAUUUUUCUGUGCUUGUAAGGACCAGAGAAGGUGGCUCAGUAUAUAGGUGACAGUGGCUGGGCAGGCAGACAGCCCUUAGAAUAUUUUCCCAAGCUAAUCUUUUCCAUUUCCACUUCCUCGUGGAGUUGGACUAUUACUGCUCAGAAGGAGGCCAUGAACCAUUGCUUUGGCUUUGGAAUAAAGAAUUUUCCAUUUUCUUUUUUUUACUAAAAGCACCUUUUUUUUAAAGCCCUAGGCCUUAGCCAGAAACUGUUCUACUUUCUGCAUAAGGAAAUUACUAAUCAUACGUUUUCUCUGCUCUUAUUCAGCAUGGCUGUAAUUUAAAAGCCAGCUGAUUAUAAAAAUAUAAAGUACAUUUUGUUGCAGUUUCUUACCACAAAGGAUGUGGCUGAACCGUAGACCACAACGUUCCUGAGCUGCUCACGCUCGAACCCCUCCCCACUGAAGGCACCAGCUACUCCCUGCAGGGACCAGACAGUCAUGGCUUUUCAAGCAUGAAAGAUGGCAUUAUUUGGAACUUGUAAUGAUAUCCUUGAGAUACCUAUCCUGAAUUCUGGCAAGGAUCUUGCAGUGAAGCUGGAAAACAACAUAUCAUUUUUGCAGGUGCAUGCUUAGACAGAAAUGUCUGAUUUAGAGGAUGUUGGGAAGGAGCUGGCAUUUUAAGAAUCCAGCUGCCCACUGCAUCUCCAUUAAGACCUUUGUUGAUUAAAUAGGUAAGAGGAUGGAAAACAUAUCCCUCAUUUUCAUAAAAUGGAAGCUGCAUAACAAAUAUUCCUAUUUCUAAAACCAAAUGUCAAUCUUGUAUUUGAGCCAAAAUAACUUUUACACUUGUUCCCCAUUCCCCAACCCAGAAGGAACUAGUUACCCAGCCCUAGAAACCACCUGGAAGGCUAAGGCUGUACGACUGAGGGCGAGAGAAAAUCCCUGAGCUGCAGACAGGCAGGUGCUGCUUUGCUGUCACUGGUGCAGGCAGCUCGAUGCCUUGUUGAGGCUGGUUGUAGGAGAGCAAGUGCCAGCUGGGCAGGCCGCUUCUCAUGUGUCGGGCAGCAAAGAGAUUCUUGCUAUGGUCCCAUCUGCUCUUUUAGGAAGUACUGGAUGUGCUUAAACAGGUAAUAAGGAAAAUAUUUAUUAGGUAAAAUCCCUGAGAGUUCAGAGAGCUCACCCACCCCCAAUCCUGCCUAAAAUAUGUCACCCCCACCCCCAGAAAAAUCCAGUCUUCCAACAGGAAGCUUAUUAGGAUGAAAUCUCAUGCUUCGGUUUGUAACACCAUCUGCCAGGACUGAGAAGUUCCGGUGCCUAGCUGAGAAAUACUAGUUGAAUGAAUGAGUGUAAAAAAAUAACUGAUGGUGUUAGAAGUCAGGAGUGUUGCCAUGAGGGAGCUGGAAGGAGCCCAAAUGGGGCUGGUGGGCUCCUGGUAAUGGUCAAUUUCUUGCCUGGGGGGUAGUUGCACUGUUAUGCUCACUUUGUGACCAUUCAUCAGGCUGUAGACACACGUGUGUGCUUUCCUGUAUGUAUAUUAACUUCAAUUUUUUUUAAAGUUUAAGAAAAUGAAAAAGUUUGAUCAAAAAAAA